rnacentral:rRNA from 1 species
GAGAUAACUCCUACGGGAGGCAGCAGUGGGGAAUUUUGGACAAUGGGGGCAACCCUGAUCCAGCAAUGCCGCGUGAGUGAUGAAGGCCUUAGGGUUGUAAAGCUCUUUUACCAGGGAUGAUAAUGACAGUACCUGGAGAAUAAGCUCCGGCUAACUCCGUGCCAGCAGCCGCGGUAAUACGGAGGGAGCUAGCGUUGUUCGGAGUUACUGGGCGUAAAGCGCACGUAGGCGGCUACUCAAGUCAGAGGUGAAAGCCCAGGGCUCAACCCUGGAACUGCCUUUGAAACUAGGUAGCUAGAAUCUUGGAGAGGUCAGUGGAAUUCCGAGUGUAGAGGUGAAAUUCGUAGAUAUUCGGAAGAACACCAGUGGCGAAGGCGACUGACUGGACAAGUAUUGACGCUGAGGUGCGAAAGCGUGGGGAGCAAACAGGAUUAGAAACCCCAGUAGUCCUCCACU